AACCAUGAUCCAAUUAAUGUGCUGGUGCCUUGUGUUAGCUACGUAUUAUUAGUAAUAACAUUAUCGUACCCUAUAAUCAAAUGUCAAAUCAUUUACUUUCACAACUAUUUAUUUGAUUGUACUUUUGGCUGGAAUAACAAUGAUCUAUAGUCUCUCUUGAACUACAAUUAAACAGAUGCAGCCUGUGACACAACAAAUCCUGCAGAAUCUCAACAGGAAAAGAGGACAGUAGAGAAGAGCCUCAAUUCAUCGGGGCAUGGACUCUACAAGAUGUCGAAAGCUUUGCACAGGGAUGCUGGCUCAUGUUGACUCCAAUGCUUCCAACAGUUGUGUCAAGUUGGCUGGAUGUUCUUUGAGUGGUGGACAAUUCUUGAGACACACGGGAAUCUGUUGACCAUGAAAAGCCCAGCAGCGUUGCAGUUCUUGACACAAAUCGAUGUGCCUGUCACCUACUACCAUACCCCCCCAUUCAAAGGCACUUAAAUAUUUUGUCACCCUCUGAAUGGCACACAUACACAAUCCACGUCUCAAUUGUUUUUCACCUUGAUUCACCUGGAGAGUCUAUGUCAUGGAAAGAGCAGGUGUCUUUAAUGUUUUGUGCAGUCAGUGUAUAACUACAUUAUAAAUUGAAGGCAGUAAGAAUUGUGCUUUCUUGCAAGAAUCAGAUUAUUUGAUGUUUCCAUUUCAAUUAUGAUGUGCCUUCCUCCCUAUGUUUCAACAACAGAAAAGUGAAGAUGAAUUGUGCUGUGCCACUGUGUCCCAUGCUGGUGCUCCUUCAUCCCACUUGGUCAAGUUUGAGCAAGGACAUGAUGAGUAUGCCACAGUGGUCAUACACUGACCAGCACAUGUCUUCCUAAACAGACAUGAAAUGAUAUAUUGUUCAAUGGAUAGAUUGUUUAUAUUUUUUAAACAUCCCUAUUUUCUUCCCAAGUAAUAUGUCACAUGAAUACAUUUCUAAUGGUCUUGUGAUCAGCCAAUUUGUCAUAAUGAAGUUGUUCUAUUCCACCAUCUGCUUAAUUGCUGUUUGUGUUGUGCGCACCUGUCAGUCCCAGACUACAUGCAGGAAACUAACAUACUGUGGCGCAAAAAAAUGUUGCUGCCCAAGCAGGCACUCACCUUUUUCCUACCUGCGGAACGCUUGAAAGUUAAACCAUUUAACAAUAAUAAAAUAAUGUUAAGCAAUUUA